GAUGAACGCUGACAGAAUGCUUAACACAUGCAAGUCAACUUGAAUUUGGGUUUUUAACUUAGAUUUGGGUGGCGGACGGGUGAGUAACGCGUAAAGAACUUGCCUCACAGCUAGGGACAACAUUUAGAAAUGAAUGCUAAUACCUGAUAUUAUGAUUUUAAGGCAUCUUAGAAUUAUGAAAGCUAUAAGCACUGUGAGAGAGCUUUGCGUCCCAUUAGCUAGUUGGAGAGGUAACGGCUCACCAAGGCGAUGAUGGGUAGCCGGCCUGAGAGGGUGAUCGGCCACAAGGGGACUGAGACACGGCCCUUACUCCUACGGGAGGCAGCAGUGGGGAAUAUUGGACAAUGGACCAAGAGUCUGAUCCAGCAAUUCUGUGUGCACGAUGAAGUUUUUCGGAAUGUAAAGUGCUUUCAGUUGGGAAGAAAAAAAUGACGGUACCAACAGAAGAAGUGACGGCUAAAUACGUGCCAGCAGCCGCGGUAAUACGUAUGUCACAAGCGUUAUCCGGAUUUAUUGGGCGUAAAGCGCGUCUAGGUGGUUAUAUAAGUCUGAUGUGAAAAUGCAGGGCUCAACUCUGUAUUGCGUUGGAAACUGUGUAACUAGAGUACUGGAGAGGUAAGCGGAACUACAAGUGUAGAGGUGAAAUUCGUAGAUAUUUGUAGGAAUGCCGAUGGGGAAGCCAGCUUACUGGACAGAUACUGACGCUGAAGCGCGAAAGCGUGGGUAGCAAACAGG
rnacentral:rRNA from 1 species